AUUGAACGCUGGCGGCAGGCUUAACACAUGCAAGUCGAGCGAGCGGCGGACGGGUGAGUAAUGUCUGGGCAACUGCCUGAGGGAGGGGGAUAACUACUGGAAACGGUAGCUAAUACCGCAUAACAUCAGAUGUGGCCAGAUGGGAUUAGCUAGUAGGUGGGGGAAUGGCUCACAUAGGCGACGAUCACUCGAUGGUCUGAGAGGAUGACAAGCCACACUGGAACUGAGACACGGUCCAGACUCCUACGGGAGGCAGAAGUGGGGAAUAUUGCACAAUGGGCGCAAGCCUGAUGCAGCCAUGCCGCGUGUGUGAAGAAGGCCUUCGGGUUGUAAAGCACUUUCAGCGAGGAGGCGUUACUCGCAGAAGAAGCACCGGCUAACUCCGUGCCAGCAGCCGCGGUAAUUC
rnacentral:rRNA from 1 species